CAAAUGGAAAGAGGCUGCCAAUUACCUGUAAUGUUGUUUGUGUGGAAGGGUUGCCAACUCUGCGUUGGAAAAUUCCUAAAGCUUGUGGGUUUGCCAGCCGCCUCGACUUCAAGGAGAUUAGCUGGGAUAUAAAUAUUUAGAAAAAGAAGAAAGAACUGAGUGAGAUCCCAAUAAAAUACCCCAAGGUUCUCGUGUCAGCAACUAAUUUUUCACUGAGACCAUAUUUUGGGCCAAGCUGAGGCUAAAAGUUCUGGUUCCAGAUAUCUACAACCCAAAUCCUACUGCAUGGUUUAUUGGAUGUCCCAUCUCGUGGAGUGUAUUGACUUAUUCUGUGUAAUCUGGCUCGAGUCGCACUGAGGAACUCAGACUAUAAAUAAUGCAAAUGAAUAAAUAAA